rnacentral:rRNA from 1 species
UACGUAGGGUGCGAGCGUUGUCCGGAAUUACUGGGCGUAAAGAGCUCGUAGGUGGUUUGUCGCGUUGUUCGUGAAAACUCACGGCUUAACUGUGAGCGUGCGGGCGAUACGGGCAGACUGGAGUACUGCAGGGGAGACUGGAAUUCCUGGUGUAGCAGUGAAAUGCGUAGAUAUCAGGAGGAACACCGAUGGCGAAGGCAGGUCUCUGGGCUGACACUGACGCUCAUGCACGAAAGCGUGGGGAGCAAACAGG